AACGCUGGCCGGCAUGCCUAAGACAUGCAAGUCGAACGAGGCGGCCCACUGAUUGUAUGGAAGUUGGAGUGCUUGCACAAAGNUGGNCAUGCUUGACGUGGAUCUUCCGCCUAGUGGCGCAAGGGUGAGUAACACGUGGGUAAUCUGCCUUCGAGUCUGGAAUAACAGUUAGAAAUGAUUACUAAUGCCGGAUGAUAUGGAGAACGAUACGUCAUUCUUUAUUAAAAGGGGCCUUUAAAGCCUCGCUUAAAGAUGAGCCUGCGCCGUAUUAGCUAGUUGGUGGGGUAACGGCCUACCAAGGCGACGAUGCGCAGCCGACCUGAGAGGGUGAUCGGCCACACUGGGACUGAGACACGGCCCAGACUCCUACGGGAGACAGCAGUUAGGAAUAUUCGUCAAUGGGGGAAACCCUGAACGAGCAAUGCCGCGUGAAGGAUGACGGUCCUCUGGAUUGUAAACUUCUGUUGUUAGGGAAGAACGACCUGUAUAGGAAAUGAUACAGGAGUGACGGUACCUUUCAAGAAAGCUCCGGCUAACUACGUGCCAGCAGCCGCGGUAAUACGUAGGGAGCGAGCGUUAUCCGGAUUUAUUGGGUGUAAAGGGUGCGUAGGCGGUUUGAUAAGUCUGUGGUUUAAGCCCGAAGCUUAACUUCGGUUCGCCACAGAAACUGUUUUACUUGAGUAUGGUAGAGGCAAGUGGAAUUUCUAGUGUAGCGGUUAAAUGCGUAGAUAUUAGAGGAACACCAGUGGC
rnacentral:rRNA from 1 species